UACGAAGGGUGCAAACGUUGCUCGGAAUCAUUGGGCGUAAAGCGCACGUAGGCGGCCCGAUAAGUCGGAUGUGAAAUCCCUCGGCUCAACCGAGGACGUGCAUUCGAAACUGUCGGGCUCGAGUAUGGAAGAGGGUCGCGGAAUUCCCGGUGUAGAGGUGAAAUUCGUAGAUAUCGGGAGGAACACCAGUGGCGAAGGCGGCGAUCUGGGAAGAUACUGACGCUGAGAGGCGAAAGCGUGGGGAGCAAACAGG
rnacentral:rRNA from 1 species